CAGGCAUAAUCCAAUAGGCUGAGAGCCUCAAUAAAACAAAAGAGUAAGUAAACUUACUCUCUCACUCUGAGAGGGAGCUGGCACACCCUCAGAGCUCGGACACACUUCUUCUCUUGCCCUUGGACAUCAGAAUAGCAGGAUCUCCCGAAUACCAGAUUCUCUAAGCUUCGAACUGUGGGAUUUGCACUAGUGGACUCAGGACUUACCCCUGAGAAUCCAGGGUUUCCAGGUUUAUGACCUCCAGCUGAGAGUUGUAUCAUUGGCUUUACUGAUUCUGAAGAUUUUGGUCUUAGGCUGUACUUGCUACAAUCAUCUCUGGCUCUCCAGUUUGCAGAUGGUUUCUCCUGAAGCUUCUCAACCUCCAUAACUGUAGUCAUUAAGUUUUGCUGUCCUGGUACCUAAGGAGGAAUGCUUUCACCAGGGAACCCAUCUAUCGUUCUGUUACAUUAAGAGAAGCCAUGACAAAAGCAGCAGAGUGAAUGCACUGGAGACGAGAAUGGCAAAGAAAAAAAGCUACGUCCUAGAACUGCCCUCGGAAAUGAUUAAGACAAAUUCCUUUUUGGCCUAAUAUACUAAGGAAAGAGGAAGAUUGACACUCGGGUUACUUUUUAAAUGAUAUUUUUAUUACAAUCUUUAAUAUGAAGUUUUAUAAGUCAGGAAUCAUGCAUGUUCAUCAGUAAAAUAAGCAUCACAUUUAUAAUACUUACGUUUAACAUAUUUUGAAUGAAUUAGAUUCUAUAUGGUAAGACAAUUUUAUUUCACCUACGGUCUUUUCAUACACUUCUCCUGAAUAUAAUCCCCUGAAGACAUGUUUUUCUUUCACUUUCUGGUUCCCCAUUUUCUCUCCUUAUUUGCUGUUUUAUCCCCUUUGGUAUGACAGGGCAAGUUUCGGGAGGUCAAUGAAGAUACAGGGAAGGUUUUCAGAUGAUUGGUUUCGUGUAAUUGGGUCAUGUACUAAUCUUUAUUUGGUAGGUUCAAAACUUCUUGCACUUUCCCUUAGGUGAUGCUUAUGUGGAUUUCCUAAAAAAUUCGUUUGCUGUGCAUUUCAGCAGUUCACACUGUUAAUUAAGAAAUUUUCCUUCUGAUUGGCCAUUCUUCCUACAACCCCUGUUUGGUACCUCUGUUUGUAUAUCCUGGCCUUUUCAGGCAUAUCUAUUAGACAGAGAUGGCUCAGUCUAACUCCAUUUUGCCAGGUUCACAGGAGAGUUAUAGGCAUCCUUACCCCAUCAGUUUCUGGGGGUGUCAGCUAUCCCUGCUCUGCUGCCCACAGUCGUGAUUCUAGUCAUCAUUGCUCACCUUUGACUUGUGUAGAUGGAGUCAGUAUACCCUGGUUCCAUGACUUUACAGCAAACUCUUUCAGUGUUUAGUUUGAAGACCCUCAACUGGCUUGAUACAGAUAAAAACACUUCUUCUCAUUCCCCAUGAGUUAGAGUUGAGAAAGAAAAUACAAGGAAAACCAUCAGCUCUCUUUACAAUAGAAACUUUUCUUUGUUUUAUAAAUAAUUCACAUAUACCUGGAUGUACAUAUAUAUAUAUGUGAAUAUACAUACACAAACAUAUGUAUAUUCAUUUAUAUACAUCUUCAAAAGUAGUAGUCUAUUUAAUCUCCUUAGUGAUUACUUUUUAUUUAAAAGGAUGGAGGUAAUGGGCCAGGUGCCUUGGCUCAUGCCUGUAAUCCCAGCACUUUGGGAGGCCAAGGCGGGCGGAUCACCUGAGGUUGGGAGUUCGAGACCAGUCUGACCAACAUGGACAAACCCAGCCUCUAUUAAAAAAAAAAAGCAAAAUUAGCCAGGCGUGGUGGUGCAUGCUUGUAAUCCCAGCUACUCCGAAGGCUGAGGCAGGAGAAUCACUUGAACCCGGGAGGCAGAGGUUGCAGUGAGCCCAGGUCGUGCCAUUGCACUCCAGCUUGGGCAACAAGAGCAAAACUCCAUCCCCCCACACCCACAAAAAAGCAUGGAGGCAAUGAUAUGCUGUUUGUGAGAGUACCCUUUAAUAUCUGUUUAGUGUAUCCUGCAGCAGAGAUCUCUUCUCUGUCUUUAGGAUGCAGGACUACUUGAAACCAAUAAUUUAUUAUUUGCUUUCAGUUUGGGAGCCACAGUCCAAAUGAAGAAAAUCAAGUCUCCUUGUAAGUGCUUGCACAUGUUUAAAAUAUUGUAAACCUAUACACUGUUGGUUGUUUUAAAGAACAAACAUCAUUUUACAUUGCAAAUAUAUUAUUUUAAUUUUGAGUGAUAUUAAUUUGUGUUCUUUAUUUCUUUUUUCCAUUUUACUUUUCACUCUUUCCCCCUCAAUUCUCUUACGAUUAAAAUUCUCUCCUCAAUUCUAUUAGGAUUCAAUAAUUUAAUACUUUCAGUGCCGAUUUUCCCAGGGGAUGUAUAUAACCAAACACAAUUGAACCUUUUUAAAAAUACAUCAUGUUUUUUUUAAAAAAAACCUUUGACAUUCCAUGACAUUAGGCAAUUUGAUAGUCUAGUCAUAGACAAAAUUGUUGAUAGAUAUUCAGGGAUUAUAACAGGGCAUCUGUCAAGUACGAAGACUUCCUCUAAAGACUAGAAAAUAUUUUUCCUGGAUUUAGGCUAAAGAAGGGGCAAAUGAUAAAACAAUGUUCCAGUUUAGGGUCUGUAGCCUGUGUGGUGGAAGACAGAGAAGUCCUGUGCCCUGCUUUUUAUAGGCAUCCAGUAAAGCUUAUUAAAAAAAUAGCAUGUAUGAACUCAGUCACUCUGGGCUAUACAGAGGUUCUUUGAGAGCUAUUAUCCCAGCACAAUGAAAAAUUGCAGAUGGAUUCUCAGCUACAGCCUGACAUUACUACAGAGUGCUGCUGAUCCUGAGUCUUUAGAGACAGUAGGGAAGAACAUGCUCACAUUUACAAUUUGGAAACAAAUAAACAGAUGUAAUGAGGCAUCUCAACAAUUUGGUUGACAUGCAUGUAGACAAAUGAUGCCAGGGCUACAUGUGUUUCCUACUACUAGUAUAAUGGCCUACCAGCAUUUUCACUCAACUGGAAAUCUUCACUUCUGAAAAUGGAGAUAAGUAGCACAUUAACUAAGAUGAACUUUUUCCUAUCUUAAUGAAAAGGUGAUUCAAAAUAAAGAUUAACCUGAGUUCCCCAAAAAAUAUGCACUAAUGCAUAUCAGAGCUAAGACUGAAAACUGGACAGUGUUUCUGUGUGUGUAUAAGAGAACAUACACCAAAUGAAUACAAGUAUUUAGAAAAUAAUAUUUGUAUAUUACAGAUGUCAUUUGGCUGUAUAAUCAAGAAGAUGAGUGGCAAAUAAAUUAUGUUUUGUGUUUUUGAAGCAGGAGACAGACCAAAUGGAGGGCCAGAACUUACAGAUCCAGAAGUUCUCACUUUCAGAUGGCACCACAUAAUACUAUUGAAGGUGCAAAGUUUAUUCAUUCAUUGAUAUCAGAAGUUGUCAGUACCUAUGGAGUCCUUUUUUUUCCCGGAGCCAUGUUUUCUUUCCAUUAGACAUGUGCACAUAUUUGUUUACUUUCUCAUCUUUUCACACAAAUGUAAUCUUUACAUAGAAACUAAAACGUGGGUCUUGCUAUUUAUCCUCCCUCAUUCUGCUCUACCGUUACAUCUAAUGAAUAAAAUCUGG
rnacentral:lncRNA from 1 species